rnacentral:rRNA from 1 species
CAGUCGCCACGGUAAUACGAAGGGUGCAAGCGUUACUCGGAAUUACUGGGCGUAAAGCGCACGUAGGCGGCUUGGUAAGUUAGAGGUGAAAGCCUGGAGCUCAACUCCAGAAUUGCCUUUAAGACUGCCGAGCUAGCAGGUGAGAGAGGUAAGUGGAAUUCCGAGUGUAGAGGUGAAAUUCGUAGAUAUUCGGAAGAACACCAGUGGCGAAGGCGGCUUACUGGCUCAUACUGGACGCUGAGGUGCGAAAGCGUGGGGAGCAAACAGGAUUAGAUACCCGUGUAGUCCCUGUCUCUUAUAC